UGGUACUAAAUUCUGGAUUUUCAAACAGCUGUCUUUAUAUUCUUGAUAAUUGAUGCAGAAGGAUAUUUUCUUCUUUUGCUUUACAUGCAAAUUCGUCCAAACAUGAUAAAGACAUUUAUCAGAUGCUUAUAGACGAGAUAGAUGCAGAUUUACUGGGAGGUGCAGAGGCUACAGCCUUUCCUCUCUUGAGGUGCCUCUCGGUACAGGACACCUUAGCCUUUAUGUGGAGAUUUCUUUGCAUCUCCCAAGUCCAAACCAGUUGAAUCCAUCACUUUACUUAUGCUUAGCUACCUGAGACCUUCAGAUCCCCAAAGUGCUGUCAGACACCUCCAGCUAGCUAUUUAUUCAUUUAGGGUUAUGGUUGGUAGUUGCACAAGCAAAUGUAGUUCUCGUCUUAGAGGCUUUGCUGAUUACAAGCCCUGCUUACUCACAGAAAGGUAAUUUACUGCCUGCAGGGCAGGACUCGGAUAUACCCAAGCUUCCUGGACAGCUAAAUGCAUCAUUCCAUUCCAGUGCUCAUUCACUUUCUGGCCUCUCUCAGACUGUUUGCAAAAGCACUUAUCCUGCAGAUGCUUACUCAUGUAAGUUAUAAUACUCUAAUCAGAAAGUAAGUGGGGCUUGGAGACAUUAAGACUGGUUUGUUUUUUUUUUUAGUGAGUAAGCACUUUCAGGGCAAAACCCAAGGGCAUCAGAAAUGAUGAUAAUUUUCUGCAUAGUACAUUGUCUAUUUUUAUCUUGAAGUCUGGAUCUUUGCAUAACUUUCUAUUAAAUUGUUUGAGAUCUUCCCUUCCUAGAUCAGUUGAAGCCCAGUAGACAUUCUUAUGCUUCAAAGCAUUUUCUAAUGACUCCCUAUAAAACGAAAUGAAACAUUAGCCUGAAUUAUAGCUGUGAUCUGCUUCAAAGUUCCUUUUUAAGCAGUAAAUUAUAUCCUAGCAGUGACUGUGUCCUUUCUUCUGUCCCUCUGAAUCUCACUUUAAGCUUUUCAAAUAACUGCUUUAACGAAAGUUGGCAUUGAGGUUCAUGACUUGUCCUUUUAAAGUAAGAUUGUUUACAAAUGUCUUCCCAGCACCUAACAACUUACAUGAAAGUGCACUUUUUCAUCUCCAAGGAUGAAGAAGAAAAUGAAGAUGUUCCUAUGCAGGGUCAACUUUGUCUCGAAGACUGAUAGUCAUCAAAGCAAAAAACUCACUAAUUUGAUGAGUGGAGGACUGUGAGCUACCCAGGCAGACAUUAACUGGCAGUGGGAGAACAGAUGAAAUUAUCUCCGUUUUCCAUAAGGACACGUUAACCCUGAGCGCUGGAGCCUGAUGCCGAUCUCCUUGAAUCAAUGUGGGUUUGAACAGAUAAAGAUGCACAGUGCAGCAUUUCACCAGCACACUGGCACAAAAGCUGUUUGCACAGCACUGCUGCACCACUCUGAGCCUUGAUCCAGCCUCAUAAGUUGUGAGGCUGGGUCUCAAAUUCCUUAUUUUUCCUGGCUCAUGGAUGUGACACCAGCUCAGCUCUAGCUCACCUACCUGCUCCAAACAUAUGUAAAAAGUAGGAAGCUACCAAACCUGGAUAAAAUCUUGUUUCCUGUUGAAUGAGACCAUGUCUUACAUAUCCUACAGCAAAAUUGUCUUUGCAGAACACCGCUUGUGCUAACUUCAGCGUGCAGUAUAAUUAAAAACACGUUUGUGUCAUAUAGGCCUCAUGUAAAGCUAUAAACACCUUAAAUCAGAGGGAUUCCUCCAAAUCUAGUCAUAAAAGGAUUCUUUUUCUGCCAGUGUAUUCAAGAGAAGGUUUCUCUUUGCUGAAAAACAUGCUCUGGCUUGAAGACAUUGGCAAAGAGUGAAGUUGGGUGAGUUGAAGCUCCCUAAAACAUCCUUGUAACCAGAAAGAUUAAUGUAUAGCCUUAUUUAAACCAAGGCUGGUUACCAUAUUCCAAAAGAGUCAAGAGUGUUAUUGUUCAGAUCACAAUGUGUCUGCACUUGCUGCUCAGACACACAAAUGUUUUUGACAUGGUACCCACUCCAGAUUUAGGAGGGAAAUCUCACAACUUAGAGGUGAGAGCUUCUGGGAUGCCUUGUUUCUUGGUAAGGAAUAUACAUUCCCUGGAAUCUUGGACAAAACACACCAUUUGGUGAUUCAGUAUUAAGCCUGGUAUUUGUGAAGUCGUGGAAGUGCUUAGACUGUGGAAAGUAAAGGGUAUUCUAAUGCAAAAGGAAACCCCAAUUACUAGGCAAGAGGCAUACAGAGCUCCAGUCUGGAUCACAGAGAAGUGAAUUAAGCUGUACAAGGCAAGAUAAAGGCUAGGAUAAGGAAAAGGAUAGAGGUAUUGCAAUGAAUAACAUUACUGUGCAGGAAUGUUAAAUAUUUGGUUGACACACAUCAUGAACCAAGAGAAUGGCAAAAUCCCUAGCUCUGGGCAUCAUACCUAGGAAGAGUGGCUAAUAUUGAAACAUGGACUAAUAACCUAAAGGCAAAAAGUGACCUUUUGCACAAAGGCCAAAGUCAGAUUUGCAACCAAAGAUUUAUGUGAGAAGCACCAUGUGAAAGUAGUCUCAGUUCCCCUGUGCAAUGAGUGUCUGCACCUCAGUGAAAUAAAAGGGUUUCUGAAAAUGAGGGGGAUUUAUAAGCCACUGAUUUUAUCUAGAUUCUUUCACCAGCUCUCCAAAGAUGCUGCCAAAGGAAUCCUAAACGGCAUGGCAUGAAAAGUAGAGAAAAGACUUUGGGAACUGAAAGGCCUGGUAAAAGUCUGCAGUUGUGAGGUUCUGUGACAAUGCAGAAAAUGAGCAGUUCUGGGUGCCUUUUGCAUAUUCCACAUGAAUGUAUAUAUUGCAAAGACACCACUUUGUGUGGGUUUUCAUUGUUCACAGACAUGGCAGAAUAUACAGCCAGUGUACUUGCACACACACAAGUGAAAAAAUGAAGCCCUAAUUCAUUCAAAAAAGGGAAUUUGUUUCUUCCAUGGGGAUAUCCAAGAAUAAGAAUUUUUGUAAUUGACAUUAGGGUCAACAGACCCUAACAACACCUAUCAACAGACAUGAAAGGAUAAGGGAAAUUCUUUUCUUUAUAGCUGGAAGAAAAUUUUCUUACAGCUUCUGUUUUAGGAUUUCCUAUUUCUACAGCUGGAGUUUGUGCUGUUACUGACAGGUUGGGUCUAAGACAACAAGUGAAUUAAAAAAAACCUUAUGUGCUCAAGGGAAAUUUAUGGGGACACGUGUAAAUGUAGUAAUGAUAUUUAUCUGUAGUUGACAUAUCAAAGAUAAAUGUCAACUUAUCUAUUUGUUAAUGGAUCUAUUAAAAGCUGUGUUUAUA